rnacentral:rRNA from 1 species
GACGAACGCUGGCGGUGUGCUUAACACAUGCAAGUCGAACGGUAAGGCCCUUUCGGGGGUACGCGAGUGGCGAACGGGUGAGUAACACGUGAGUAACCUGCCCUCAUCUCUGGGAUAACAGUCGGAAACGGUUGCUAAUACUGGAUAUGAGCCUGCCAGGCAUCUUGUGGGGUGGAAAGAUUUUUUGGUUGGGGAUGGACUCGCGGCCUAUUAGCUUGGUGGUGGGGUAGGGGCUCUCCAAGGAUUCGACGGGUAGCCGGCCCGAGGGGGCGAACGGCCAAAAUUGGGCUGGGGAUCGGGCCAAGCCCCCACGGGGGGCAGCAGGGGGGAAUAAUGCCAAAUGGACCGGAGUCCGGUGCAGCAACGCCGCGGGCGGGAAUACGGGCUUCGGGUUGGUAAACGCUUUCAACCGUGGCCGAGCCGUGUGUGACGGUAACAGGAGAAGAAGCACCGGCUAACUACGUG